rnacentral:rRNA from 1 species
ACCAGACCUACGGGAGGCAGCAGUGGGGGAUAUUGCACAAUGGGGGCAACCCUGAUGCAGCGACGCCGCGUGAGCGAUGGAGUACUUCGGUAUGUAAAGCUCUGUCCGCAGGGAGGAGAAUGACGGUACCUGACCAAGAAGCCCCGGCUAACUACGUGCCAGCAGCCGCGGUAAUACGUAGGGAGCAAGCGUUGUCCGGAAUUACUGGGUGUAAAGGGAGCGUAGGCGGGAUAGUAAGUUGAUUGUUAAAACUAUCGGCUCAACUGGUAGAUGCGAUCAAAACUGCAAUUCUUGAGUGAAGUAGAGGCAGGCGGAAUUCCUAGUGUAGCGGUGAGAUGCGUAGAUAUUAGGAGGAACACCAGUGGCGAAGGCGGCCUGCUGGGCUUUAACUGACGCUGAGGCUCGAAAGUGUGGGUAGCAAACAGGAUUAGAUACCCCUGUACG